GACGUAGGAGGCGAGCGUUGUCCGGAUUCAUUGGGCGUAAAGAGCGCGCAGGCGGCUUGGUAAGUCGGAUGUGAAAACCCGAGGCUCAACCUCGGGCGUGCAUCCGAAACUGCUCGGCUAGAGGUAGGUAGGGGAGAUCGGAAUUCCUGGUGUAGCGGUGAAAUGCGCAGAUAUCAGGAGGAACACCGGUGGCGAAGGCGGUGGUCUGGGCCGGCACUGACGCUGAGGAGCGAAAGCGUGGGGAGCAAACAGG
rnacentral:rRNA from 1 species